rnacentral:rRNA from 1 species
UACGUAGGGUGCGAGCGUUAAUCGGAAUUACUGGGCGUAAAGCGUGCGCAGGCGGUUUUGUAAGCCAGAUGUUAAAUCCCCGGGCUUAACCUGGGAAUGGCAUUUGGGACUGCAAGGCUGGAGUUUGGCAGAGGAGACUGGAAUUCCCGGUGUAGCAGUGAAAUGCGUAGAUAUCGGGAGGAAUACCGAUGGCGAAGGCAGGUCUCUGGGCUAUAACUGACGCUCAUGCACGAAAGCGUGGGGAGCAAACAGG